UAUGUAGGGCAGCAAACGUUGUUCGGAAUUACUGGGCGUAAAGGAGUGUGUAGGCGGCUUUGGUAAGUUCUGUGUGGAAAUCUCCCGGCUCAACUGGGAGGUGCGCCGAAUACUGCAAGGGCUUGAGUACUGGAGAGGAUAGCGGAAUUCCUGGUGUAGCGGUGAAAUGCGUAGAUAUCAGGAGGAACACCGGCGGUGUAGACGGCUACUCUGGACAGUAACUGACGCUGAGACACGGAAAGCGUGGGGAGCAAACAGG
rnacentral:rRNA from 1 species